rnacentral:rRNA from 1 species
UACGUAGGGCGCAAGCGUUAUCCGGAAUUAUUGGGCGUAAAGAGCUCGUAGGCGGUUUGUCGCGUCUGCCGUGAAAGUCCGGGGCUCAACUCCGGAUCUGCGGUGGGUACGGGCAGACUAGAGUGAUGUAGGGGAGACUGGAAUUCCUGGUGUAGCGGUGAAAUGCGCAGAUAUCAGGAGGAACGCCGGUGGCGAAGGCGGGUCUCUGGGCAGUAACUGACGCUGAGGAGCGAAAGCGUGGGGAGCGAACAGG